GCGGCGGACGGGUGAGUAACACGUGGGCAACCUGCCCGCAAGACCGGGAUAACUCCGGGAAACCGGAGCUAAUACCGGAUAACACCGAAGACCGCAUGGUCUUUGGUUGAAAGGCGGCCUUUGGCUGUCACUUGCGGAUGGGCCCGCGGCGCAUUAGCUAGUUGGUGAGGUAACGGCUCACCAAGGCGACGAUGCGUAGCCGGCCUGAGAGGGUGACCGGCCACACUGGGACUGAGACACGGCCCAGACUCCUACGGGAGGCAGCAGUAGGGAAUCUUCCGCAAUGGGCGAAAGCCUGACGGAGCGACGCCGCGUGAGCGAAGAAGGCCUUCGGGUCGUAAAGCUCUGUUGUGAGGGACGAAGGAGCGCCGUUCGAAGAGGGCGGCGCGGUGACGGUACCUCACGAGGAAGCCCCGGCUAACUACGUGCCAGCAGCCGCGGGUAUAC
rnacentral:rRNA from 1 species